rnacentral:rRNA from 1 species
GCACGGGUGAGUAACACGUGACUAACCUACCCUUGAGUGGGGGAUAACCUAGGGAAACCUGGGCUAAUACCGCAUAAUACCUUCGGGUCAAAGGAGCAAUUCGCUUAAGGAGGGGGUCGCGGCCGAUUAGUUAGUUGGCGGGGUAAUGGCCCACCAAGACUGUGAUCGGUAUCCGGCCUGAGAGGGCGCACGGACACACUGGAACUGAAACACGGUCCAGACUCCUACGGGAGGCAGCAGUGGGGAAUUUUGCGCAAUGGGGGAAACCCUGACGCAGCAACGCCGCGUGGAGGAUGAAGUCCCUUGGGACGUAAACUCCUUUCGAUCGGGACGAUUAUGACGGUACCGGAAGAAGAAGCCCCGGCUAACUUCGUGCCAGCAGCCGCGGUAAUACGAGGGGGGCGAGCGUUGUUCGGAAUUAUUGGGCGUAAAGGGUGCGUAGGCGGUUUGGUAAGUCUUGUGUGAAAUCUUCGGGCUCAACUCGAAGUCUGCAUGAGAAACUGCCGGGCUUGAGUAUGGGAGAGGUGAGUGGAAUUCCCGGUGUAGCGGUGGAAAUGCGUAGAUAUCGGGGAGGAACACCUGU